GCUAACUUCGUGCCAGCAGCCGCGGUAAUACGAAGGGACCUAGCGUAAUUCGGAAUUACUGGGCGUAAAGCGCGCGUAGGCGGUUAAGUAAGUUAAUUGUGAAAGCCCAAAGCUCAACUUUGGAAUUGCAAUUAAAACUACUUAGCUAGAGUUUAUCAGAGGAAAGCGGAAUACAUAGUGUAGAGGUGAAAUUCGUAGAUAUUAUGUAGAACACCAGUUGCGAAGGCGGCUUUCUGGGAUAACACUGACGCUGAGGUGCGAAAGUAUGGGUAGCGAAGAGGAUUAGAUACCCUCGUAGUCCAUACUGUAAACGAUGAUUGUUAGAUGUUGGAAAUUUAUUUUCAGUAUCACAGCUAACGCGUUAAACAAUCCGCCUGGGGAGUACGACCGCAAGGUUAAAACUCAAAUGAAUUGACGGGGACCCGCACAAGUGGUGGAGCAUGUGGUUUAAUUCGAAGCUACGCGCAGAACCUUACCAACACUUGACAUGUCUGUCGCGGAUUCCAGAGAUGGAUUCCUUCGGUUCGGCCGGACAGAACACAGGUGCUGCAUGGCUGUCGUCAGCUCGUGUCGUGAGAUGUUGGGUUAAGUCCCGCAACGAGCGCAACCCCUACUUCUAGUUGCCAUCAGGUUAAGCUGGGCACUCUAGUAGGACUGCCUGUGAUAAGCAGGAGGAAGGUUGGGAUGACGUCAAGUCCUCAUGGCCCUUACGUGUUGGGCUACACACGUGCUACAAUGGUAGUGACAAUGAGAUGCUAAACGGCAACGUUAAGCUAAACUCAAAAACCUGCCUCAGUUCGGAUUGCACUCUGCAACUCGAGUGCAUGAAGCUGGAAUCGCUAGUAAUCGCUCAUCAGCGCGGAGCGGUGAAUACGUUCCCGGGUCUUGUACACACCGCCCGUCACACCAUGGAAGUUGGUUUUACCUUAAGGCAUGUCACUAACCUUCGGGAAGUGCGUGACCACGGUAUGAUCGGCGACUGGGGUGAAGUCGUAACAAGGUAGCCGUAGGGGAACCUGCGG
rnacentral:rRNA from 1 species